AAAAUGAAAAACCACCAAUCAAAUUAUUUGGGAAAGCUCUCCAGACUAGACACACCUUGGAAAAAUUUUAAUGAGAAAUAAAAUCAAAUAAACAAGGUAAGUCUAGCCUAAAAAAAAAUUAAAGAAAAAAGACUGUCAAAGGACUAAUGGCACGUUUGGCACACAAACUGAGCCGAUCCAGUUUUAACUAAGCCAACCCA
rnacentral:lncRNA from 1 species